GCCGUGGCGCAUAUGGUAGCGCAUUGGCCUACGGACCCAAGGGUCGUGGGUUCGGAUCUCACGGCCGGCA
rnacentral:tRNA from 1 species